rnacentral:rRNA from 1 species
GCCGCGGUAAUUCCAGCUUCAGCAGCAUCUAUUAAAGUUGCUGCGGUUAAAAGGCUCGCAGUUGAAUGUCUGUAUCGAGCGCAGGUCAGGUGGACGUUGGGGCGUGGAAGUACGGGCAGUUGGAUGUCCGGGGGGCCUCGUGCUCAACGGCUCCUUCGGCUUUUCCACACACCCCCGUCCCUUACAAGCCUCCUCGCUCGGGUACAUAACGGGAAUCGGUCAAACGGAGUGUGGUCUUGGGAGUUGGGGCGUGCGUGGCUUCGCGGUUGCGUGCGUUCUUUCUUUCGGGGCUGCGUCAAGCUCCAUCGGUUUCACGGUCACCUUGAGUAAAUCAGAGUGCUCAAAGCAGUCGUAGGGGCCUUGCGCCCUGUGAACAGUCUUGACGGACUGACUUGGUUUUGCAUGGCAUGUCGGAAGACGACGUCGUGUGCUGGCUCAGAGGAUAAAUCAGUGGUACAAGCCAGCCUCGACGUAAUGAUUAAAAGGGACGGUCGAGGGCAUUGGUAUUGCGAGGCGAGAGGUGAAAUUCUGUGACCCCCGCAAGACCUCCUGAAGCGAAAGCGUCUGCCAAGGACGUUUUCAUUAAUCAUGAACGAAAGUUAGAGGAUCGAAGGCGAUCAGAUACCGCCCUAGUUCUAACCCUAAACGAUGCCAACCAUCAAUCCGCGCGUAGCACCCUUCUUAACGGGCUCGGCGGGCAGCUCCCCACUCACGGGAAACCAGAGCCUCUGGGUUCCGGGGGGAGUCUGGUUGCAAAGCUGAAACUUAAAGGAAUUGACGGAAAGGCACCACCAGGCGUGGAGCCUGCGGCUUAAUUUGACUCAACACGGGCCAUCUCACCAGGCCAGCACUCUUGUACGAUUGACAGAUUGAGAGCUCUUUCUCGAUUCAGUGGAUGGUGGUGCAUGGCCGUUCUUAGUUGGUGGAGUGAUCUGUCUGGUUAAUUCCGAUAACGAACGAGACUCUCCCCUGCUAACUAGUCGGUUGGAUCUUGAUCAGUGGGUUGAGUGCCGAGUAACUCUCGCUGUGCGUGUUGUGCGUCGCGUUCCUCACGGUUCGUUGCGUGCUCAUGUGUGGCGUUGGAUGCCUUGGAUCACACUGCACCCCAAGUCCGCCGCUUUGCUAUAACUCUUCUUAGAGGGAUUCACGGCACUGAAGCCGUAAGAGACUGAGAGCAAUAACAGGUCUGUGAUGCCCUUAGAUGCUCUGGGCCGCACGCGCGCUACAAUGCCGGGCACAGCAGGUGUUUCUCCUGCUCCGACAGGAGCGGGUAACCCUCUGAAAGCCAGUGUUCUUGCAAGUGCUUCCUCCCUCGUGGAGUUGCACAGAGGCGUGCUUGGGCCUGGGACUUGCAAUUCUUUCCCACCAACGAGGAAUGCCUAGUAGCGGCGGGUCACUGAGCCCGCUGUGACUCAGUCCCUGCCCUUUGUACACACCGCCCGUCGCUACUACCGAUUGGGUGUACCAGUGAGAGCCUUGGACUGGCGUCCGUUGUUGCUCGCAAGAGUGACAAGCGGGUCCGACGGAAAGAGGUCCGAACUGGUGCACUUAGAGGAAGUAAAAGUCGUAACAAGGUUUCCGUAGGUGAACCUGCGGAAG